GCCCCUGUAGCUCAGUGGAUUAGAGCAUCCGGCUUCUACCCGGAGUGGCGCGGGUUCGAAUCCUGCCAGGGGCACCA
rnacentral:tRNA from 7 species